rnacentral:rRNA from 1 species
AACGAACGCUGGCGGCAGGCCUAACACAUGCAAGUCGAGCGCCCCGCAAGGGGAGCGGCGGACGGGUGAGUAACGCGUGGGAACGUACCCUUUGCUACGGAAUAGCCUCGGGAAACUGGGAGUAAUACCGUAUGUGUCCUUCGGGAGAAAGAUUUAUCGGCAAGGGAUCGGCCCGCGUUGGAUUAGGUAGUUGGUGGGGUAAUGGCCUACCAAGCCGACGAUCCAUAGCUGGUUUGAGAGGAUGAUCAGCCACACUGGGACUGAGACACGGCCCAGACUCCUACGGGAGGCAGCAGUGGGGAAUCUUAGACAAUGGGCGCAAGCCUGAUCUAGCCAUGCCGCGUGAGCGAUGAAGGCCUUAGGGUUGUAAAGCUCUUUCAGGGGGGAAGAUAAUGGCUGUACCCCCAGAAGAAGCCCCGGCUAACUCCGUG